UCCUUGAUGGUCUAAUGGUUAUGAUUUCCGCUUGUCAACUUCGCUGAGUAAGCGAGUAACAAGCGCGGGAGACCGGGGUUCGAUUCCCCGUCAGGGAG
rfam:Trichophyton benhamiae CBS 112371 Abenha-F-W-01a06.fp72, whole genome shotgun sequence.